rnacentral:rRNA from 1 species
UACGGGGGGGCAAGCGUUGUUCGGAAUUACUGGGCGUAAAGGGCUCGUAGGCGGCCAACUAAGUCAGACGUGAAAUCCCUCGGCUUAACCGGGGAACUGCGUCUGAUACUGGAUGGCUUGAGUUUGGGAGAGGGAUGCGGAAUUCCAGGUGUAGCGGUGAAAUGCGUAGAUAUCUGGAGGAACACCGGUGGCGAAGGCGGCAUCCUGGACCAACACUGACGCUGAGUGAGCGAAAGCCAGGGGAGCAAAGCGGG